UGCACCAAAAUCCAAAAUAUUAAUUUAAAUAUUAUCAUGAAUUUAGGGGCAAGUCAUGAAUUACUUCUAACUAUUUAUUUUGAAAACAAAAAAAGUUAUUAAAUAUAUCUAUUACAAUUAUUGUUUUUAUAUCACAAAAUCCUCAUACGAAACAAACAUCAAGCUCAUCCUACUAAUAUUAGGAUAUUGAAGAAAACGAAGAUUUUUUUUGUAAAACUUAUUUUGCCUUAAUUUUCUGGACAAUCUCAAUGGUUAUCAUAUUUUAAAUUUAAUUAGUUCUCUUUUCUAUACUUACGCCAAAAAAACAUAGUCAACAAAGUUGUUGUAGUAUAGUGGUAAGUAUUCCUGCCUGUCACCGGGUUCGAUCUCCGGCAACGGCGUAAACCUUUUUAUUACGUCAAAACUUUAUCUUAUGUAGUUUAUGUGACAUAAUACACGUCAUCAUAUUAUAUCCUUUGUCGUCUGUAAGAAUGCAUACGAUUUUCCCUCUUGCAUUUUUUUCUGUUUUGUACUUUUUUUCUCUGAAACACAACAAUGGCGUCGACGAAGCCCGGUCCCGCAAUCAACCUUGAAGAAGAUGCGGAAGGCGACAGUGUAGCCGUAGACGAUUCGAUUUUCAUACCGGAGGCUACGAGCUUGCUCGUUUGUUACUCUCCGUUCGACGACAGCGACAUCGAUUGCAAUCCUUAUUUCCCUUUCUCAGGACUAAUUUCAGAUUCUGGAUCAGGUUCUUACUCGGAUUCAGAACCCGAUCCGUACAUAUGUCCCAUCGAUUUCUUCGAUCGAGAGUCUUCCGAGGUUGAGGCGUCUGAGUACUUGGAAUCGGAAGGGCUGACCUCCGGUGAUUUCAAUAUUUGGGGAUUUUAUGAUCCUAAGGAAGACGAAGAUGAGAUAGUUUUGGGAACUAGAUGUUUAUUUGGAUCCGGUUCAGGAUCCGUGUCGGAUCAGCAACCGGGUGAGCAAGGGCUUCGAGUGACCGGUAUCGAUUCGGAUUCCGAUUAUGACGAUGACGUGUUUGGUUACACCUCAGAGGAUAGUGGGAAUAGAGCAAAUGAUUCGGGUCGGGUCGAGGUUGGUACGGGUCUCCCUCCUGUGUGGGAUGAUGUCUUCGGAGAGGAAACCGUCUUGGCUGAUGAAGAAUGGGAGGAAGUGCAGAACGCCAUUAACUGGACGGUUAGGGCGUUUGGUAGACCUGAAGAAGAAGAAGAAGAAGAAGAAGAAGAAGGGGAAGAUGAAUUGUCUUCAGUAUCAAGGGAUGAUGAUGAUGAAGAGCAGGAACUUGACUGGCAGGUUUUGUUAACUGUUAACAAUGUUGUUAAUUAUAUCGAACAAGCUGAAGGAAUCUUGAUAAACCCUGAUGAUAUCGAUCCGAGUUAUUACCUGUAUCUAGCUAGUUUGGAUGAAUAUGAUGAAAACCAUAGUGGGCAUUAUGAUGCUGAUGCUAUUCUUGGGCAAAUGUUUGAUAACGAGGCUGGAAUCUGGGGAAAUCCUCCAGCAGCCAAAAGUGUAAUUGAGGAUCUUCCAGUUGUGGAACUUACAGUGGAAGAAUUAAACAAAGGGAACAAUGUUUGUGCGGUGUGUAAAGAUGAAAUUGUAGUGGAGGAGAAAGUGAGGAGGCUUCCUUGUAGUCAUUUCUAUCAUGGAGACUGUAUUAUGCCUUGGUUGGGGAUAAGGAAUACUUGCCCGGUUUGUCGGUAUGAGCUGCCUACUGAUGAUCUUGAGUAUGAAAGGCAUAAGAGCUCACAAAGGAGCGAUGCCGGUUUGGCAAGGAACUUACCCGGUAGACAUAGUUAAUUGAAUUUGAAGUAUUUGUUGUUCAUGUUAAUUAGCCAGGCAAGAUCCUUAAACCACUUUCUUUUAUGCAGGACUCCAGCGUUUCUCACAGAUUCGAUGGAGUUUGUAAAAGUAAUAAAAGUCUUAUGUACGCCCUGUCGCACUGGUAUGUUAAUGCUGUGCUAUAUGUUUGAUUUGAUUGUUAGUUUUUUUUUUUUGUUUUUCCCCUAUAUAAUUUUAGAUAACAAAUCGGCUGUAAUCUGUAUAUGACUGUACUGUAUAUAGUCUCUUGUCAACCCGACAAAAUGUUGAAACAGGUUCAUCUUUUUGUUUUAAACAAGUCGGAGAC